GAUGAACGCUAGCUACAGGCUUAACCCAUGCAAGUCGAGGGGUAACGAGCGGAAAGCUUGCUUUCCUUGUCGACGACCGGCGCACGGGGGAGUAACGCGUAUCCAACCUGCCCCCAACCAGGGAAUAACCUUGCGACAGUCAGACUCAUACCCUCUACUUUCCUCAGAUAUCCUCUGACGAGUAAUACCGAUCUCUCGAUUGUGGAUGGGGAUGCGGCUGAUUAGCUUGUCGGAGGGGUAACGGACCACCAAGUGAACGAUCAGUAGGGGUUCUGAGAGGAAGGUCCCCCACAUGGGAAAUGAGACACGGUCAAAAAUCCUAAGGGAGGCAGCAGUGAGGAAUAUUGGUCAAUUGGCGGAAGUCUGAACGAGCCAAGUAGCGUGCAUGAUGACGGCCCUAUGGGUUGUAAUCUGCUUUUAUACAGGAAUAAAGUUAGCCACGUGUGGUUAUUUGUAGGUACUGUAUGAAUAAGGACCGGCUAAUUCCGUGCCAGCAGCCGCAGUAA
rnacentral:rRNA from 1 species